rnacentral:lncRNA from 1 species
AAGGGGAGCGGGCAGUGGUGGAGAAGGAGGCAGCGGUGGUGGUUGCCUCGCUGAGGGCUGGGAUCGAUGAGGAGAAGAUUGCGGUGACUGGCAGCGGCAGCGGUGGAGCAGGCAAUGGUGGUCGGUGGGCAGAAGUAGAGUUUCCUUCUCGAUUGAGAAGGCAGCGGUGGUCGGUGGCCGCCGGCUUCACUCUUUCUCACAUGAUCACUUUCCUUCUUUUCUUUUCUUUUUUUCCUGCAUUCCUUUUUUUUUUUUCUUUUGAGAUGAUGAUGACUACAGCGAGAACAGUGAAAACGCCGAGGAUCGCUGCUCUGAUACCUAAUGAUAAGACCCGAAAAUCUUAUCGUAAAAGAAAUGAAAUAAA